rnacentral:rRNA from 1 species
UACGUAGGGUGCGAGCGUUGUCCGGAUUUAUUGGGCGUAAAGAGCUCGUAGGCGGCUUGUCGCGUCGUCCGUGAAAACUUGGGGCUCAACCCCAAGCUUGCGGUCGAUACGGGCAGGCUCGAGUUCGGUAGGGGAGACUGGAAUUCCUGGUGUAGCGGUGAAAUGCGCAGAUAUCAGGAGGAACACCGGUGGCGAAGGCGGGUCUCUGGGCCGAUACUGACACUGAGGCGCGAAAGCGUGGGGAGCGAACAGG